GUAUGUGCUCAAACGUUUUCUCCCGUCCGAAAGUCCACAGUGUCCGUGUAGUGGAAACCUCAACAUGACGUCCUUUCAUAUUUAUUUAACCAGGUAUCAGCGACAGUUAAGGACCCUGGAGACAAGAAGAUCCCGUCGAACCUGGACUGAUCGGCUGCUCAGAAAACACGAACCUACAGUGUGUGCUGCAGUGAAGGCGACAACAAAAGGCGUCAGUCACCCUAUCUCUGCCAAAACACAGGUGACGACAGAAACAACAUGGUGGACGUUGUGGAAGAGGACCCUCCUUCGUAUGCAGAUAUAAACGGCUCAUUCUAAGGACAGAUUGGGAAGCCGUGAUGGCGGCACAGAAGUUGAGGGAGAAGCUAUUUAUCCCAGACGGAUCAGGAGGUGUGUGACGGAGGUGUGGACGGUUGCUGCAGGUCAGUGACGUUGGCAGGCGCCAGGCAGGCCGGCCCACAUGGCUCGGGGACUGUGGGACUACAGACAGAUGGCACCUGGUGUCUCUCCUGGUCAGAGUGCUAGAUGGCUUCCAGGAGGCUACUGUAGAACAACAUGGAGGACCCGCUUCAUACAUAAAUGUAAACAGCUCAUUCUAAAGUGAUGAAAACAGAACGAUUCUUAUUUCCAGGGCUACAAGGUUAAGAGUUUUUUGGUUGGUUUCUGAGUUCAGAGCAGCAGAGGAGAGGAUGCUGAAGGGGAGCAGGAGGAGGAUUUGGCAGCAAGGUGUUGGAAGGCACUGCACUCCUCCCGGUCUCUCUCUGUCCAUCUCUCCAUUUCCGUCCUCACACCUCCUGCCCCCACCCCCCCCCUUCUCUCUCCCUGUAUCAUACUUCAUUUGCUCCAGAUAACACAUCAGCUUCAACGCCCAUCCACAAACUCUGUCACCAUGAUGCCCACAGAUGGCAACUUCCUGUGGUCCUGCCCGGUGAUUGGUGGAGAGAC